CCUACGGGUGGCAGCAGUGAGGAAUAUUGGUCAAUGGGCGAGAUCCUGAACCAGCCAAGCCGCGUGAGGGAAGACGGCCCUAUGGGUUGUAAACCUCUUUUGUCGGAGAACAAAACACGGGACGUGUCCCGUUCUGCGUGUACCCGAAGAAAAAGCAUCGGCUAACUCCGUGCCAGCAGCCGCGGUAAUACGGAGGAUGCGAGCGUUAUCCGGAUUUAUUGGGUUUAAAGGGUGCGCAGGCGGAAGAUCAAGUCAGCGGUAAAAUUGAGAGGCUCAACCUCUUCGAGCCGUUGAAACUGGUGUUCUUGAGUGAGUGAGAAGUAUGCGGAAUGCGUGGUGUAGCGGUGAAAUGCAUAGAUAUCACGCAGAACUCCGAUUGCGAAGGCAGCAUACCGGCGCUCAACUGACGCUCAUGCACGAAAGUGUGGGUAUCGAACAGGAUUAGAUACCCCAGUAGUC
rnacentral:rRNA from 1 species